UACGUAGGGGGCAAGCGUUGUCCGGAUUUAUUGGGCGUAAAGAGCGUGUAGGCGGCUAGACAGGUCCGUUGUGAAAACUCGAGGCUCAACCUCGAGAUGUCGAUGGAAACCGUCUGGCUAGAGUCCGGAAGAGGAGUGUGGAAUUCCUGGUGUAGCGGUGAAAUGCGCAGAUAUCAGGAAGAACACCUAUGGCGAAGGCAGCUCUCUGGGACGGUACUGACGCUGAGACGCGAAAGCGUGGGGAGCGAACAGG
rnacentral:rRNA from 1 species